ACAGAUGGGAGCAGCUGGCACUGGGAGGCAUGAGGUGGGUGGCAGCUACAGAGACCGAGCAGUGAGAACGAGCCCCAGAAGAGAAAGCUGCCAGGAGACGAGAGUGGCCUGGAUGGCAGGGAGCAGCCGCGGUCAGUGGAAGGUGACUUCCCAGGCGCCAGAUCAUGACAGCCACGUGCCGCCGCACCGUGCCUCUGUGGCAGUUACCAAACAACACGGGGAACAUAAACAAAAAGCUGAUGACGCAGAGCAGACCUCAUGAGAAGUCCACUUCAGGACAGUCAGGCCGGUUGCCCGCAGGCUUAGGCUGGAUUGCACAGAUUUGAAUGUGUACUUCUGUAGUGAUGAGGACCUGAUCUUCAGUGUGGGAGUGCUGCAACUUCUAGAAACCUCAGCAAGGUUCGUUCUAUAAAACAAGCAAAAAACGGCCCCCAAAAUGGAUCCCACAAAGUUUCUGCCAGUGACCUUUGAUGCAAAUGUUCCGUGAUAUCUAUGUUCAAGACUGCCAGUCACUUGAGGCUUAUUAAGCUUGACCAGUGUGAACUGUUAUUUCCUAGACUUAAGUGCAUGUCACAUGGCGUCUGUACAUUCUUCAGGGCUCCUUCAGACCCACACUUACACGGAUAACCAAUUUUCAGUAAAGGUGCCAAAGCAAGUCAAUGAGGAAAAGGAAGUCC
ensembl:lncRNA